AGCCAUGCAUGUCUAAGUAUAAGCAAUUAUACCGUGAAACUGCGAAUGGCUCAUUAAAUCAGUUAUCGUUUAUUUGAUAGUACCUUACUACUUGGAUAACCGUGGUAAUUCUAGAGCUAAUACAUGCUGAAAACCCCAACUUCGGGAGGGGUGUAUUUAUUAGAUAAAAAACCAACGCCCUUCGGGGCUUCUUGGUGAUUCAUGAUAACUUCACGGAUCGCAUGGCCUUGCGCCGGCGACGGUUCAUUCAAAUUUCUGCCCUAUCAACUUUCGAUGGUAAGGUAUUGGCUUACCAUGGUUUCAACGGGUAACGGGGAAUUAGGGUUCGAUUCCGGAGAGGGAGCCUGAGAAACGGCUACCACAUCCAAGGAAGGCAGCAGGCGCGCAAAUUACCCAAUCCCGACACGGGGAGGUAGUGACAAUAAAUACUGAUACAGGGCUCUUUUGGGUCUUGUAAUUGGAAUGAGUACAAUUUAAACCUCUUAACGAGGAACAAUUGGAGGGCAAGUCUGGUGCCAGCAGCCGCGGUAAUUCCAGCUCCAAUAGCGUAUAUUAAAGUUGUUGCAGUUAAAAAGCUCGUAGUUGAAACUUGGGCCUGGCUGGCAGGUCCGCCUCACCGCGUGUACUUGUCCGGCCGGGCCUUUCCUUCUGGAGAACCUCAUGCCCUUCACUGGGUGUGUUGGGGAACCAGGACUUUUACUUUGAAAAAAUUAGAGUGUUCAAAGCAGGCCUUUGCUCGAAUACGUUAGCAUGGAAUAAUAGAAUAGGACGUGCGGUCCUAUUUUGUUGGUUUCUAGGACCGCCGUAAUGAUUAAUAGGGACAGUCGGGGGCAUCAGUAUUCAAUUGUCAGAGGUGAAAUUCUUGGAUUUAUUGAAGACUAACUACUGCGAAAGCAUUUGCCAAGGAUGUUUUCAUUAAUCAGUGAACGAAAGUUAGGGGAUCGAAGACGAUCAGAUACCGUCGUAGUCUUAACCGUAAACUAUGCCGACUAGGGAUCGGGCGAUGUUCUUUUUCUGACUCGCUCGGCACCUUACGAGAAAUCAAAGUUUUUGGGUUCUGGGGGGAGUAUGGUCGCAAGGCUGAACUAG
rnacentral:rRNA from 1 species